AGGUGUCCGCCCACAACGAAAUGCUUGCGGGUCACAGUACCCCUUCAAGUAGUUCUUGAAAAAAAAUGAUUCUCUCAGGUAGCGUUUGAUUAUGUGUACAUUGUAUCCUUGUAUAUAUUCUCAAGUGUACACAUGAUUUAUAUAAGGUUUGUACAAUUUUAGUUUUAUUUAAAUUUUAAAAUUUUGACAUUUUUUUUAAGAUUUGCCUGCCCCUGUCUAAACACUUAAAUUCUUGGUCUUUGGAGUAUUGUCUGCAACUUCAAAACACACUUUUUGGAACAGGACACAUUUUUCUGAUAUUUUAUCCAGUUUGACUGCAAUAUAAGUUGUAUUUAUCAAUCAAGUAAAAAAUGACAUUUAUUUUUCCAUAAUUACCUGGUAGUUAUUUGUUAAUUUGUUUUAAUUCAUGGAUAGGUUUAUUGCAAGUGUCAUGGAAAGCUGGAACUUUUCAGUACACAACAUGCAAACAGAGAAUGAACUGUGUGUGCCGGCUUUGUGAACAAAAACGCAAGGCGGCUAUGUUGCUGCUUGGGACAUUAAAGUUAAGUCAGCAACCGUCUACCAGACUGCAAGAUUCAUCUCUUCCAAAGGAUGUCGUACCUUUCCAGAUACACUGUGUUUUGUGUGGAUAAGAAAUGCAGAGUGGUACCACCAAUCACCUAAGCCACAAUUCCCCUAACAGACAAUAGGCUCAAGGGGACAGUUCCUGCAAUUUACAGAAAAGCUCUCAAUUGUAGCCCUACGAACUUAAGAUACUGCCGAUGGUGAAGCUUGGAUGCACCGGGCCGGUUUUCCAGCCGUGUGGAAUCUCCAGCUGAACUGGGGCCGGGAAUUAUAUAAGACUCCUUAGCAGCAUGAGUGCCAGCCAGUCAUUGCUGUUCUUGCAUUGCUGAGGAGGACAGUCCUGCCAACAUAACAGUUUGUUCAAUAACAGGAGACAAACAGAAACACAGAGGUGCUAUACAUUCUGAUGGAAAAACAAAAGCAAUUCUCCCAUCAUUUUGGCGUGGCUCAGAUCAAGAGGAGAAUUUUAAGAAAGGUGAUGGUUGGGCACACACAAGAAGACAUAGAUCACAGGUGUCUAGCCAUAUGAGUAGAUAGGAGUGUCACACUCUGCCAAACUUACUUCAUCAGACGAGCAGAAAGCUUCUCAAGAUCCCGCACUGCACACUAAGACAUAGUCUUUGACUACAACAAGGUGAUGAAAGUACAGAGGUCCAAUUGAAAUCAAUUCUGUGCUGCUGUCAUUUCUUCAUUCUGGAAGUCGAUGGACAUGAUUUAUUAUGGCAUCAAGUGUGCAGUUUGCCGACUAUCAGCAGUCUUGUUCACCAGCUGUGCAACUUGAGCUGGUAGCUUUAUUGCUUGAAGCCACUGCAUAAGAGGGGGAAGGUGCAGGCUCAUCAAAAAGUCUCAAAAGGUGAAACUAGGAAAAGAAGUUUAUCAAGAGUGUGAAUCUAUUUUGAAAACAAUCGUUACAAUGAUUUGGUUUCCUUUGAAACUUCAUACAUACUAUGAAUUGAGAUGCUUAAAUAAAAAACCGCUAUUCAAAUAUCAGGAAACUGCCUUUUUCAUACUAAAGGGUAAAUGAUGUCGCCAUUUCCUGUAUGUAUUUAAAUAAGAUAUGUCUCCACAAUUAAUAUUUUUAGGGAAUUUUUCUCAACCUUAUGAAUGAGAUUAAAUUGUACAGGGUUAUAUGAGCUUAAUAUGUUUUCUCAUUCUUUAAAAUUGGUGAAAAAUUGUCAGAAGAUAAUUAGACCAGUAUCCAUUACUGCAAUCAUACAAUCAAAUAUACAGGGACAAGCCCACUGGGCAUAUAAUAUAAUUAAACCCUGUUUAGGGGCACGAGGCAAACAGAGUUACUUUCAAACGUUAAAGCUGCACUCUCACACUGGAUGUUUUGACAACUUUUUUCAUUUUAUGUCUUGGAUUGGAACCAUCCAAUUUUUGAGAAAAAUUAAAUCCCAGAUUUUUCUAUUUAAGUUAAAACAUUGAAAUUUUUUAUGCACUUUUCUUAAACCGUUAGUAACAUUAAUUUUCGAACGGAAAUAUGAAAUCUGCGAUCUGAUCUUUUGUCAGCAAUCUUUUAUCAUUGGUUUGCAGAUAAUUACGCAAAAACUUGCUCAUUCGAAGACAAAAAAAGUUUUGGAAACGGUAUAUCUGUGAGAGUGCAGCUCUAAAUGUUUAAUUUCUUGAUUUUACUACUGUAUUAGAAAUUACAGGGAUUGGGGUAUAUUUUUAGUGUUUUUAUUGCUUGUUUUUGAUUCAUACAGUCAUACUUUAUUCUUCAGGGCACAACUUACAAAUAAACAAAACUGGAAAAUGGUCAUAUCAAAAGGUCAAAGAUAAUGCAAGUUGAACAAUCAUAUUGUUCAUGGCUUGUAUUUUUGGUAUAUUUUGUUGCAUAUGCUAUAGAAAAGUUGAAAGUUAAAAAUAAAUUCAUAGUUGAAAUGAUGGCUUUGAAUGAUAUUGUCAGAUGAGAAACGGCACUAUUAAGAAAUAGGUAUAAUGGUACUUUAUUUAUUUUAAUCAAUUUUAGAUAUUAUGAAAAUUAUCUUAUUUAGUACAUGAGACCUUUUAAACAGUUAUUGACAAUAUAACAAUGUGUAUAUGAAGCUUUAGAUCAAAACUUAAAGCUGCACUCUUACAGAUUGUCAGUUUAGACACAAAAUUGUCUCAAAAUCGGCUGAUUUGGUUAUCAUUCCUUUAAUUCAGUCAUAUUAGAUAAUUCACAAUAGAACCAAUCAAAAAUGUUUGGUAAAACUGCCGAAAAGUUCAUUGACAAUAAAUUGUUCGUAAUGCUUUUAGUCAUUGUUCGUAAUGCUUUUAGUCAUAAAACAUCAUUUUUUUAACAUAAAUAUGAUGAACUGCAAUCUGAUCUUUUUUCAGCAGUCUUAUAUCACUUUAAAUUGGGUCUAGACAUUUCUGCAAAAAAUACUCCAUUUAUUGACAAACAAUAAAAGAGUACCGGUAGUCAAAACGAUCAAUCGGUGAGAUUGCAGCUUUAAAUACACCUUUUAAGACCGCCGUAAAAUUCCAAUGGUUUGCCUAAAUCUUUAAAGCUAGCAUACUGUUUAAUUGACAACCAUACUUAUUGUUUAAAAUAUGUCAUGAUAUCUUUGUACAAUGUGUUUAUAUAAUUCAUUAAAGAAGUCAAAACAAA